rnacentral:rRNA from 1 species
AAGCGACUCGAAUGACGACGGAGAGAUUCAUCGACAUCCAUCCGAGAGGCGUGCGGGCGCGCGCUUCGAUGUCGCGCGGGCGCUCCUCGCGGGCGUCUCGUGCGGCACGACGCGCACCCGUCCACGUCCCGUGGCGUCGUGCACUUCUCUCUUAGUAAUGCAUCGCGACCCGUUCCCUUGUGUGGCACGCGUUCGCGCGUGUGCUGUCGGCUUAAGCGCCGUCCGUGUCGCCCAGCGGUCCUAGCGGCCGCUGGACCGCGACGGUGGCCGGCCGACGGGGGACGGUAGUGGUAUGAAACGCGCACGCGCAUCGCGCGCGUCCGGCCCGACGCAAGCUCUCGUGCGCCGGUUGGCGGUUCUGCCCGAGUGCGGAUCGUCACCCGGCGCCGCUGUCGUCGCCGCCGUGCAGUCUCGGACCGUGCGCGUAUCAGUCUGCGAUGAGUC